rnacentral:misc_RNA from 1 species
CCAUUUGCUCAUGGGUGCCGUCUUGGGAAACCUGGCGGCCCCGAGCUUACCAUCCCUGCCUAUCCACACCUCAUGUUACCUUCGGCAGGGCAACCUGCCGCUGGAGAAAUCCAAACCCACUGUAUCCAGUAUCCACCUUCUGAGCAUUUGAAUUAUCA